rnacentral:rRNA from 1 species
GACGAACGCUGGCGGUAUGCCUAACACAUGCAAGUCGAACGAGAUCUUUUUUCUUUGCGUUCGCGUAACGAUGAAAAAGAUUGCAGUGGCGGACGGGUGAGGAACACGUAAGAACUUACCUUUUGGCGGGGGAUAACAUCGGGAAACUGUUGCUAAUACCCCAUAAUGCUGAGGAGCGAAAGGGAAACUGCCAAAAGAGAGGCUUGCGUCUGAUUAGCUAGUUGGCGGAGGUAAAUGCUCCCCAAGGCGACGAUCAGUAGCUGGUCUGAGAGGAUGAUCAGCCACACUGGGACUGAGACACGGCCCAGACACCUACGGAUGGCUG